rnacentral:rRNA from 1 species
GGCCUACCAUGGUGGUAACGGGUAACGGGGUGUUAGGGCACGACACCGGAGAGGGAGCCUGAGAAACGGCUACCACAUCCAAGGAUGGCAGCAGGCGCGCAAAUUACCCAAUCCCGACACGGGGAGGUAGUGACAAUAAAUAACAAUACGGGGUUCUUUCGGAUCUCGUAAUUGGAAUGAGUACAAUUUAAAUCUCUUAACGAGGAACAAUUGGAGGGCAAGUCUGGUGCCAGCAGCCGCGGUAAUUCCAGCUCCAAUAGCGUAUAUUAAAGUUGUUGCAGUUAAAAAGCUCGUAGUUGAAUUUCGGGAUCAGAUUGUCGGUCGUGCCUCGGUACGCACUGGCAUUAUUGGUUCCUACCUUCUGAAGAACCGCGAUGUCAUUAAUUUGGUGUCGUGGGGAAUCAGGACUGUUACUUUGAAAAAAUUAGAGUGUUUAAAGCAGGCGCACGCUUGAAUACAUUAGCAUGGAAUAAUGAAAUAGGACGUUUGAUUCUAUUUUGUUGGUUUCUAGGAUCGACGUAAUGAUUAAUAGGGAUAGUUGGGGGCAUUAGUAUCCAAUUGUCAGAGGUAAAAUUCUUGGAUUUAUUGAAGACUAACUACUGCGAAAGCAUUUGCCAAGGAUGUUUUCAUUAAUCAAGAACGAAAGUUAGGGGAUCGAAGACGAUCAGAUACCGUCGUAGUCUUAACCAUAAACUAUGCCGACUAGGGAUCGGAUGAUGUUAAUUUUUUAAUGACUCAUUCGGCGCCUUACG